ACUAAAGACUACGGUAUCUUGCACCAGUCAAAAAGCUGUUUCAGUCUAGUCGGGCUUUAAACUUGCAAGAACUACAAAUCCCAUAAGGUCUUUCACAUAAGUGACAAGCCCAUUGAAAAUCUUGUAUACGCUCUUUCAGUGGUUCACAGCUGUCACCUUCUUUUUGUCUACUUGUCCUGUUGUCUUACAGGCACGUGCACUGUCGCCUUCGGGUGUGAUGUUAUUGUAGUACGACUCAGCCUUGUCCUUUGGAUACAAGGCAGCAACUCACACCUCAAAUACAGUAUGUGACCUGAACCCAUGCAAGGUAGUUCAAGAACAGAAUCCAGGGUUUGGAUAGACGUGACCCCAAGAGUGAGUUUAAGGCCUCUGAAAACCAGAAGAAUAAUGGAGUCUACAGUCAGGAGAAGAGAUAUGAUGAAGGCUGACCUGUUAAGAGAAAAAACAAGUUUUCUGUGGUGGCGAUCUGCACCAUCACCACCUAAUCAA